GGCCAGACUCCUACGGGAGGCAGCAGUGGGGAAUAUUGCACAAUGGGGGAAACCCUGAUGCAGCGACGCCGCGUGAGUGAAGAAGUAUUUCGGUAUGUAAAGCUCUAUCAGCAGGGAAGAAAAUGACGGUACCUGACUAAGAAGCCCCGGCUAACUACGUGCCAGCAGCCGCGGUAAUACGUAGGGGGCAAGCGUUAUCCGGAUUUACUGGGUGUAAAGGGAGCGUAGACGGCAUGGCAAGUCAGAUGUGAAAGCCCGGGGCUCAACCCCGGGACUGCAUUUGAAACUGUCAGGCUGGAGUGCAGGAGAGGUAAGUGGAAUUCCUAGUGUAGCGGCGAAAUGCGUAGAUAUUAGGAGGAACACCAGUGGCGAAGGCGGCUUACUGGACUGUAACUGACGUUGAGGCUCGAAAGCGUGGGGAGCAAACAGGAUUAGAUACCCGAGUA
rnacentral:rRNA from 1 species